UACGUAGGGUGCGAGCGUUGUCCGGGAUUAUUGGGCGUAAAGAGCUCGUAGGCGGUCUGUCGCGUCUGCUGUGAAAACCCGAGGCUCAACCUCGGGCCUGCAGUGGGUACGGGCAGACUAGAGUGCGGUAGGGGAGAAUGGAAUUCCUGGUGUAGCGGUGGAAUGCGCAGAUAUCAGGAGGAACACCGAUGGCGAAGGCAGUUCUCUGGGCCGUAACUGACGCUGAGGAGCGAAAGCGUGGGGAGCGAACAGG
rnacentral:rRNA from 1 species